rnacentral:rRNA from 1 species
CCUACGGUGUGCUGCAGUGGGGAAUAUUGGGCAAUGGUCGCAAGCCUGACCCAGCAACGCCGCGUGAAGGAAGAAGGCUUUCGGGUUGUAAACUUCUUGUAAGAGGGAAGAGCAGAAGACGGUACCUCUUGAAUAAGCCACGGCUAACUACGUGCCAGCAGCCGCGGUAAUACGUAGGUGGUAAGCGUUGUGCGGAUUUACUGGGUGUAAGGGGCGUGUAGCCGGGAUGACAAGUCAGAUGUGAAAGCCCGUGGCCCAACCACGGAACUGCAUUUGAAACUGUCGGUCUUGAGUAUCGGAGAGGCAGGCGGAAUUCCUAGUGUAGCGGUGAAAUGCGUAGAUAUUAGGAGGAACACCAGUGGCGAAGGCGGCCUGCUGGACGACAACUGACGGUGAGGCGCGAAAGCGUGGGGAGCAAACAGGAUUAGAUACCCGGGUAGUC